UAUUAUUUUAAAAGCAGAGAGUGCUGCGAAGGACAACACACAUGGCAAUGUGUUGAAACCCAAACAGAUACAACGCUUUAGGAGAUCAGUAGGAGACAUUUCAGCCAUAAGAAUGGGCAGGUGAAGCCUGUUGACCAGCUUCUUCUUGAUUGCAUUCUGAGCUGCAGCGUUAGUGGCAACACGUAACCCCUCUGCUGCCUCUCUCAGCCUCUGCUGCUGGUCCUCAUUCUCUGGAGCUCACCUGCGUCUCCCAUGGAGGUGAAGAUGCUCUCGGUGACGGUCAUGAUGGUGUCUGUGGCCUGGUCGUAACGUCCGAUGGGCUCACCACAGCUGGC